AUUGAACGCUGGCGGCAGGCCUAACACAUGCAAGUCGAACGAGUGGCGGACGGGUGAGUAAUGUAUGGGAAACUGCCUGAUGGAGGGGGAUAACUACUGGAACCGGUAGCUAAUACCGCAUACCAUCAGAUGUGCCCAGCUGGGAUUCGCUAGUUGGUGGGGUAACGGCUAACAAAGGUGACGAUCCCUAGCUGGUGUGAGAGGAUGACCAGCCACCCUGGAACUGAGACACGGUCCAGACUCCUACGGGGGGCAGCAGUGGGGAAUAUUGCACAAUGGGCGCAAGCCUGAUGCAGCCAUGCCGCGUGUAUGAAGAAGGCCUUCGGGUUGUAAAGUACUUUCAGCGGGGAGGCGUUACCCGCAGAAGAAGCACCGGCUAACUCCGUGCCAGCAGCCGCGGUAAUUC
rnacentral:rRNA from 1 species